AUUGAACGCUGGCGGCAUGCCUUACACAUGCAAGUCGAACGGCAGCGGACCUUCGGGUGCCGGCGAGUGGCGAACGGGUGAGUAAUAUAUCGGAACGUACCUUUCAGUGGGGGAUAACGUAGCGAAAGUUACGCUAAUACCGCAUAUUCUGUGAGCAGGAAAGCAGGGGAUCGCAAGACCUUGCGCUGAUUGAGCGGCCGAUAUCAGAUUAGCUAGUUGGUGAGGUAAAGGCUCACCAAGGUGACGAUCUGUAGCGGGUCUGAGAGGAUGAUCCGCCACACUGGAACUGAGACACGGUCCAGACUCCUACGGGAGGCAGCAGUGGGGAAUUUUGGACAAUGGGCGCAAGCCUGAUCCAGCCAUGCCGCGUGAGUGAAGAAGGCCUCGGUUGUAAG
rnacentral:rRNA from 1 species